rnacentral:rRNA from 1 species
GACGAACGCUGGCGGCGUGCUUAACACAUGCAAGUCGAGCGGCAAGGCCCUGCUUUUUUGGGGUGCUCGAGUGGCGAACGGGGGCGUAACACGUGUGUAACCUGCCCUUGACUUUGGGAUAACUUCAGGAAACUGGGGCUAAUACCGGAUAGGAGCCCCUGCUGCAUGGAGGGGGUUGGAAAGUUUCGGCGGUUGGGGAUGGACGCGCGGCUUAUCAGCUUGUUGGUGGGGUAGUGGCUUACCAAGGCUUUGACGGGUAGCCGGCAUGAGAGGGUGACCGGCCACAUGGGUACUGAGAUACGGCCCAGAGUCCUACGGGAGGCAGCAGUGGGGAAUAUUGCACAAUGGGCGGAAGCCUGAUGCAGCAACCCCGCGUGCGGGAUGACGGCCUUUGGGUUGUAAACCGCUUUCGCCUGUGACGAAGCGUGAGUGACGGUAAUGGGUAAAGAAGCACCGGCUAACUACGUG